rnacentral:rRNA from 1 species
AACGCUGGCGGCGUGCCUAAUACAUGCAAGUCGAACGAACUCUGGUAUUGAUUGGUGCUUGCAUCAUGAUUUACAUUUGAGUGAGUGGCGAACUGGUGAGUAACACGUGGGAAACCUGCCCAGAAGCGGGGGAUAACACCUGGAAACAGAUGCUAAUACCGCAUAACAACUUGGACCGCAUGGUCCGAGCUUGAAAGAUGGCUUCGGCUAUCACUUUUGGAUGGUCCCGCGGCGUAUUAGCUAGAUGGUGGGGUAACGGCUCACCAUGGCAAUGAUACGUAGCCGACCUGAGAGGGUAAUCGGCCACAUUGGGACUGAGACACGGCCCAAACUCCUACGGGAGGCAGCAGUAGGGAAUCUUCCACAAUGGACGAAAGUCUGAUGGAGCAACGCCGCGUGAGUGAAGAAGGGUUUCGGCUCGUAAAACUCUGUUGUUAAAGAAGAACAUAUCUGAGAGUAACUGUUCAGGUAUUGACGGUAUUUAACCAGAAAGCCACGGCUAACUACGUGCCAGCAGCCGCGGUAAUACGUAGGUGGCAAGCGUUGUCCGGAUUUAUUGGGCGUAAAGCGAGCGCAGGCGGUUUUUUAAGUCUGAUGUGAAAGCCUUCGGCUCAACCGAAGAAGUGCAUCGGAAACUGGGAAACUUGAGUGCAGAAGAGGACAGUGGAACUCCAUGUGUAGCGGUGAAAUGCGUAGAUAUAUGGAAGAACACCAGUGGCGAAGGCGGCUGUCUGGUCUGUAACUGACGCUGAGGCUCGAAAGUAUGGGUAGCAAACAGGAUUAGAUACCCUGGUAGUCCAUACCGUAAACGAUGAAUGCUAAGUGUUGGAGGGUUUCCGCCCUUCAGUGCUGCAGCUAACGCAUUAAGCAUUCCGCCUGGGGAGUACGGCCGCAAGGCUGAAACUCAAAGGAAUUGACGGGGGCCCGCACAAGCGGUGGAGCAUGUGGUUUAAUUCGAAG